rnacentral:rRNA from 1 species
UACGGGGGGAGCAAGCGUUGUUCGGAUUUACUGGGCGUAAAGGGCGCGUAGGCGGCCAGCACAAGUCAGUUGUGAAAUCUCCGAGCUUAACUCGGAAAGGUCAACUGAUACUGUGCGGCUAGAGUGCAGAAGGGGCAACUGGAAUUCUUGGUGUAGCGGUGAAAUGCGUAGAUAUCAAGAGGAACACCUGCGGCGAAGGCGGGUUGCUGGGCCGACACUGACGCUGAGGCGCGAAAGCUAGGGGAGCGAACGGG